UUCUAAGAGUUUUUAUAAUUCACACCACGUUUAAAUUUGUGUGGCUGAAGUUCUUUAAAGAGACAUCCAACAUAAUCUUCGUCCAGUUUUGUAAGUUGUAUUUAUAAUUCAGUGUAUUGGAAAAAUAAGAGGGUCUACAAAAUGAAACUCGACUAACCGUUGAAACUGACAAAAAGAAAAAAUAAAUCCGUUGCAUCGAAGAGUUUCAAACCUUCACUCAAACCGUUAGUAAAGAAUUUCCUCCAAAAAUUGGGAAAUGGUGAAACUAAGAGGACGAGCAAAUUGUUUUUUUACAACAAAUUGUCAAUGUUAGUGGCGAAUAGACUGAAACAACUAAAAAACUUAAAAAAAGGAAACAUCUGUCAAAGUUAAUUCAUCAAAGACAGGUAAUAUUUGUAUGGUAUUCAUAUCUUUAUAGUUUGUAUAAAUAUUUAGAAAAAUAUAGUACUUAACACAACUCAUUAUAUAAAUUUAAUUAUAGACACAAAAAUACAGCAUCUGCAUCUGUAGAUUCAAUGAUCAUCAACAAUUUGAUGCCAAUUAAAGGGUAAAGGAUUUCUCCACACUCAAACAUUUUCAUUACGUUAGGACUGCUUAUGUUAGAAGUGUUUAUCCUUACGCUUCCACUAAAUCCCGUCUGUGAUUUCUGAUCUAUCACGAGCAAUUUUGCCAUUUGCUGCCUUCUUUGUUUCAUCGUGUCAAUAUAUUCCACAUUUCAGUUGGAUAAGUGGAAUAUGUUGCCAAUAUAAUCCAGUUUUUCCAUUGUAUAAGUGGAGGCUAUUGCUACAAGGAGACAAAGAAAGGAGCAAACAGCGAGAAUGAUCAUGAAGGGUCAUAAGACACAAAUGGGGUUUUGUAUACGCGCAAAGGUAACACACUUCCAACAGUAACAGUUCUAACAAGAUGAAAAUUACGAAGUAAAUAUGUUUGAACUUAAAGUAAAAUGAGUACGUCAACCUCAGGAAGAGUAUGGAGGUGUCUUCUUCAUAUUGGUGUCUAAUUGUUGUUGGUGAUUCUUGAAUCUAAAGAUGUAGCUUCUGUGUAUUCACUACCAUAAAUAUAUAUUGCAUUGAAGCGUAUUAAAUAAAUUUAGUACUACAUUUUUCUGUAUACAACAAAGUAUAAAGAUAUGAAUUCCAUUCAAAUUUCACACCUGUAUUUGGUAAACUUUCUUUGUUAGAUGUUCUCUUCUUUCUCUUAAGGAAGCCAUUGGUAGGAACAAAGGUCACCAUCAGGAAAGAACAAGGGGAGGCUGUUGUUUUUAAAUCACAUAUUGUGAAGAAGUAUUAAAGCUUGUGAGAACUAAUACACGAUUUUAACCCAUUAUAUAAAUGAAAAAUAAGUAAAAUUUUAAUAUAAAUUAUGUAUUAAAUGUAAUAUUUUUUGUACAUAAUAUUGUAACGUAUUAGUAUAGAUAGUUUUUAAUUAUCAUUUUAUAUUAAACCUGUAAAAUUCAAACUAAAUAAUAUAUUUUAAUUAAAUUCUUA